GCCCGUGUGGCUCAGUGGAUAGAGCGCGGCCUGCAGACUGAAGGGUCCCGGCUCGAUUCCGGUCAAGGGCA
rnacentral:tRNA from 1 species